rnacentral:rRNA from 1 species
CCUCGUCAUCCAAUUAGUGACGCGCAUGAAUGGAUUAACGAGAUUCCCACUGUCCCUAUCUACUGUCUAGCGAAACCACAGCCAAGGGAACGGGCUUGGAAAAAUCAGCGGGGAAAGAAGACCCUGUUGAGCUUGACUCUAGUUUGACUUUGUGAAGAGACAUGGGAGGUGUAGCAUAAGUGGGAGAUCCGAGUUGAUCGACAGUGAAAUACCACUACUCCCAUCGUUUCUUUACUUACUCGAUGAGGCAGAGAGCGACUCUUUAUCGGAGUCACCCUACUCGGCCAAAGUGAUGGGGGCUGCCUCACCGGGCAGCCCUUCACGAUCUGAUUCGAGGACAUUGUCAGGCGGGGAGUUUGACUGGGGCGGUACAUCUGUCAAAUACUAA